CCGAGAAAGAUGGGGGCCGAGGGAGACCCAGCACUAAACACUAGUGGCUGGGUCUGGAGACCGAGCCUCCCUCUUCGGCCUUCGAUGGCCUCGAGCCAAGGACGGAAAGCUCAAGCUCGUCCUCUGCAGACCUUGUAAUCAUCAGCAUUGUUUCCACUACAUAACCUAGUUAAGAAGCAUCGUGGUAGAAGAGAAAGGAUGUGUCUGUGGCUGUCACUAUUCCCUGGGAAAGGAAAGAUUCCACUCACCAUGAGACUUUAAUAGGAUCCUGAAGAUUUAGAAGUGGGUGUCGCCCAAGGCUCCGCCUUCCUUCCUCUUGGUGAGCUCAUCGGUCUCCAUGGCUUUGGGGAUGACUUCCAUCCCUGUGACCGUCUGCAGCAUCGGUGCCAGCCUGCUGCCCACACUGCAGUCCUGUAUCCCCUGGGACAGCGGGGUCUGUAUGGCCAACUACUGCACCUGAACUUGUCACCAUUUCCCUACAUGUGCCACCUCCCUAGCCUGCUUUUGUUGUUGGCAUUAUCACCCUUUAGAGAGUCCAAGCCCACAAGAUGGAGUCACCUGGACUCUUCCUCCGCCUUACCUCACAACUCAAUAGUCCCGUUGUCCCUCCCUUAGCCAUAUUGUUUGCAUCCAGAGCUUCACCUACAGGCUCACUACCUCCACACUAGCCCCGGCCCCGCUCUCUUCACUUAGACUACUGUGAUAUUGACCCCUGCUCCUGAUGUCUCCCCUCUCCAUUCCAUCCCCCACUCUGAUGCUUGGACAAUCCUCUUAUGCUCCACUGUGACCACAUCUAUGUGACCCUUUUACUCAAAACCUUCCAGUUACUUCCUCUUUUCCGUGGAAUAAAGGACCAGCUCCUGAUCCUGGCAUUCAAGGCCUCUUUGUCUUGUCCUGUUUCACAAAGCUGCCCUUCAUGCGUCUCUGUUCCAGGCCAUUUGGACUAUCCUCGGCCCAUCCGUUCUCACCCUCCCCUUCCUUGGCUUCCUUCUUCUGCUCAAGUUGCCUCCCAGGCCUAGA